rnacentral:misc_RNA from 1 species
AAGACAAGCCUUUGCACAAGACACCCUAGCCCAAUUUGUUCCCUCUACCCUACCUCAUCAAGCCCUUGCAAGUCCUUGCCUUUGUGUUAUUAAAAGAAAAAACCCAAAACAAAACCCAAAAAAGCAUUGCAACAGAGAGCAAGAGGAGAAUAAGAGUCGCUGCACCUCCUCUCUCCAACUUUGUCAUCUUUCAUCACCAGACAACCGUGAAGCUGUUGUAGAUCAACUGGUUGGCUCCGGGCAAUCCCAAAUUUCGAUUGCCUGAGGUGGUUCAGUUUCAAAGAUCCAUCCUAGUCAAACUUUGAUCCAAGUCGAGACCUUGCCAUAAUUCCAUUCUUUCUAGCAAUUGAACCUCUGUUGCACCUUGCCACACGCUAGAGACCGUUUUCAUAGUCGAAGAUCGGUUUCAGUGCCCAUACAGCUAGUAAAUAUUAGGUUGAGUUUUCUAAUCCAAUGUUUUGGGCAAACAAGCACAAACUGCUGCAAUGUGCUUGGUUUAACCUGAUUUUGGUCCCUGUACAAUGUACAUACUGACAUCACGACAACGCUAGGGACACAAUAAGAUCAUCUCGCCACGUCAGCACUAGGUUAGCUUGACAUGUCAACUCUUUUGUGUCAUAUUAAACAUCAGAUUGGCAUGAAAUUGCUACGUCGGCACACAAUGUCCUGUCAACAUUGCCACUGUGGUUUUAAAUUGCGGUUGUAGUCACAGUCGCAAGUGACAGAAACAAAAGGGUAAAAUUUGAGUUUUCUUCAUUGAGUAUGCUUCUUUAAUUUGAAUAU